rnacentral:rRNA from 1 species
GACGAACGCUGGCGGCGUGCCUAAUACAUGCAAGUCGAACGCAGUGGGGACGGGUGAGUAACACGUGGGUAACCUCCCAUCAGAGGGGAUAACACUUGGAAACAGGUGCUAAACCGAUACUGAUGGAUGAACCCGGGGUGCAUUAGCUAGUUGGUGAGGUAACGGCUCACCAAGGCGAAGAUGCAUAGCCGACCGGAGGGGUGGAUCGUCCACACUGGGAAUGGUACACGGCCCAAACUCCUACGGGAGGCAGCAUUCGGGAAUCUUCGGCCAUGGACGAAAGUCUGACCGAGCAACGCCGCGUGAAUGAAGAAGGUUUUCGGAUCGUAAAACUCUGUUGUUAGAGAAGCGGUAUCGAACCAGAAAGCCACGGCAAACUACGUGCCAGCAGCCGCGGUAAUAC